rnacentral:rRNA from 1 species
AUUGAACGCUGGCGGCAUGCCUUACACAUGCAAGUCGAACGGCAGCACGGACUUCGGUCUGGUGGCGAGUGGCGAACGGGUGAGUAAUGUAUCGGAUCGUACCAUUGAGUGGGGGAUAACGUAGCGAAAGUUACGCUAAUACCGCAUAUUCUCUCCGGAGGAAAGCAGGGGACCGCAAGGCCUUGCGCUCUUUGAGCGGCCGAUAUCAGAUUAGCUAGUUGGUGCGGUAAAGGCUCACCAAGGCGACGAGCUGUAGCGGGUCUGAGAGGAUGAUCCGCCACACUGGAACUGAGACACGGUCCAGACUCCUACGGGAGGCAGCAGUGGGGAAUUUUGGACAAUGGGGGCAACCCUGAUCCAGCCAUGCCGCGUGGGUGAAGAAGGCCUUCGGGUUGUAUAGCUCUUUCGGCAGGAACGAAACGGUUUAGGCUAAUACCCUGAGCUAAUGACGGUACCUGAAGAAGAAGCACCAGCUAACUACGUGCCAGCCGCCGCCGUAACAC